UCCCUACGCAGACUCCUGGACUAAAC
rnacentral:piRNA from 1 species